rnacentral:rRNA from 1 species
UACAGAGGUGGCAAGCGUUGUUCGGAAUUACUGGGCGUAAAGGGCGCGUAGGCGGUCUUGUAAGUCUUGUGUGAAAUCCCUCGGCUUAACUCCGAAACUGCAUUCGAUACUGCGGUGCUUGAGGACUGGAGAGGAGACUGGAAUUCAUGGUGUAGCAGUGAAAUGCGUAGAGAUCAUGAGGAAGACCAGUGGCGAAGGCGGGUCUCUGGACAGUUCCUGACACUGAGACACGAAGGCCAGGGGAGCAAACGGG